rnacentral:rRNA from 1 species
UACGUAGGGUGCAAGCGUUAAUCGGAAUUACUGGGCGUAAAGCGUGCGCAGGCGGUUUUGUAAGUUUGUCGUGAAAUCCCCGGGCUCAACCUGGGAAUGGCGAUGAAGACUGCAAGGCUAGAAUCUGGCAGAGGGGGGUAGAAUUCCACGUGUAGCAGUGAAAUGCGUAGAGAUGUGGAGGAACACCGAUGGCGAAGGCAGCCCCCUGGGUCAAAACUGACGCUCAUGCACGAAAGCGUGGGGAGCAAACAGG